CAGCAGCCAUGACGGUUCAGUGGCGGAGUGACCUUCAAAGGGGGUGUACGUGCGGAACAGCUCUCUAAGCCCAUGUGACUGAGAAUACCACUUAGGUUUACUCCCCACAAGUGCAGUGCUAGUGAAACGUGCCACUUACUUACCAUUCACUGACUUAUGGUGUUGGAAUUGCCUGAAAGGACGCGACUGAACAAUUAGAGAGGUAUAAAUGCCACCACACAACAUACAGAACAGGAACUCCCUCAAACUAACAGAGAUGGAGGAGGAAGGUCUUCGCGCUAACCUCUCCCACCAAGAGCUAAUACCCGGGAUGGCGCCGUCGGUAACUGUGGUCACGCCUGCAGAUACAAGAGGGGGCGAUGAUGUUGCCGACCCUUCCUCCUGCGAGCUCUCUACCCCUCCGCGCGGCACCAGCGUCAGCAAGAAGCAGCUGAUGGUGGUGAUUAUCCUCUUCUACGUGAACCUCAUUAAUUACAUGGACAGAUUCACCGUGGCAGGCAUCCUAUAUGACAUACAAAUAUGCUUCGGUCUGUCGGACACCCAGUCAGGGCUGCUGCAAACUGCCUUCGUGCUGGUGUAUAUGGUAAUGGCGCCACUCUUUGGUUACCUGGGCGACCGCUACUCCAGGAAGAACCUCAUGGCUGUGGGCAUCUUCUUCUGGAGCCUCGCAACUCUCCUUGGGUCCUUCAUGCCUAACUACGCUUUGUUCCUGCUGUUCCGGUGCCUGGUGGGUGUGGGUGAGGCAAGCUACUCCACUAUCGCCCCCACCAUCAUCUCAGACCUCUUUGUCAGUGACACCAGGUCCAAGAUGCUGGCCGUCUUCUACUUCGCCAUCCCUGUCGGCAGUGGCCUGGGGUACAUCAUAGGGGCAGAAGUGACAGAGCUUGCCAGGGUGGGUGAGACAGACUGGGAGGCGUGGCGGUGGGGCCUCCGUGUGACACCCGUGAUGGGUCUCCUGGCACUGGCACUCAUCCUGUUCCUGGUGCACGACCCACCCAGGGGCAGCAGUGAGGGAGGCCAGCACCUCCAGGCCACCUCCUUCCUCAGUGACCUCCGUUAUUUGUUCUUAAACAAGAGUUUUGUCCUCUCCACUCUGGCCUUCACCUGCGUGACCUUCGUGGCUGGGGCACUGGCGUUCUGGGGCCCUAUCUUCACCAAGCUGGGUGUGAUGGUGCAGGACCACCCCAAUGCCAAGGCAGAUGAUGUGUCGUUUGUGUUUGGAGCAAUUGCCAUGUCAGCAGGUCUCCUUGGGGUACCACUGGGCUCCUUCGCAGGCCAGAAGCUGCGUGUCAAACUGCCCUAUGCGGACCCCCUGGUGUGCGGCCUUGGCUUGCUGUUCUCCGUUCCUCUGAUCCUUGGUGCAAUGGUGCUGGCUGAGUGGAACACCAUCGGUUCAUAUAUUGUGGUGUUCUUUGGCCAAGUGUUCCUCAACUUAAACUGGGCUGUGGUGUCUGAUAUUGUUUUGUACAUUGUGAUCCCCACUAGGAGGUCAUCCGCUGAAGCCUUCCAGAUCCUCUUUUCCCACGCCCUUGGUGAUGCUGGCAGCCCAUCUCUCAUUGGUGUGGUCGCCGAUGCAUUCAAGCCUUACAUAAAAGUAAAUGGAAGCACAUCUUACCUUGCCCCGGAGGAUUACGACAUCGCCAACUUUACCUCAUCUGACCUCACCACCCUGGACACUUUCAAUACCACCACCACCACCCCAGCGCCAGACCUCAACAAUGACUAUAUUGAGUUUAAGUCAAAGCAGUACGCGUUGUUCUUGUGCUGCAUUGUCAACAUCUUCGGCGCCGUCUUCUUCUUCUGGAACUCUUGCUACAUCGCCGAGGACAAGGCCAGGUGUGACCGCAUCAUUGCAGGUGAAGAGGAAGUAGAUGGCAGGGGUGGCAGUCGCCCGGCAUAUACAGGGACUGUGGCGGAAGGCUGUGUCAAUGGAGGGAUGACAGAGAGCCAGGAGGGACAGAAUGACACCUCCAGUAAAACACCUACCUCUACCUCACCUUAUGCAUAACCUACCUCCUGCAGCAGUAUUUAUCUCCUGAUUUAAUUUAAGUGUACCUAGCUGUAACUUGAUGAUGGUUCAGUGUGUGUGUGUGUGUGUGUGUGUGUGUAUGUGUGUAUGAGUUAAGCUUAUUCUGUCCAUUCUCAUAUGAAGGAACCACUGUCAAGCCGUUUGUACAUUGAAUCGACUUUGGUGGAGGUUAUUGGUUUAUCUGUCUAGUAUUUAUUAUUAUUGUUUUAUGUGCUAUAUUUUUUAUGGAUUAUAGUGGCAGUUUUGUUGGUUCUAGGUGAGAUCAUUAUGGUGCUCAGGCUUUGUUUCCAGUAAUAGUUUAACCAGGAUUCUGUAUCAUGAGACUAAUAAUCUGUGGUCCAAAAUGUAAUGCUUAUAUAAGAGUUCAUUGAUUGACUGGCGGUGACUGUGGUGCUUUCAGUCAGUCAUGAUACACCACAUCUAUUUCAACUGAUAUAUCUGAACCAUCAUCUGUUUGAGCUGAGAGAGAACUGUACAUAUUGUGUAUACUCCUGUUAAUUUAUUACAGGAUUAUACACAAUGCUAUGGGGAUGGCCUCUUAAUAAAAUGAAGUAUAUUGGUACAA
rnacentral:misc_RNA from 1 species